rnacentral:rRNA from 1 species
AACGAACGCUGGCGGCAGGCUUAACACAUGCAAGUCGAGCGCCCCGCAAGGGGAGCGGCAGACGGGUGAGUAACGCGUGGGAAUCUACCCAUCUCUACGGAAUAACGCAUGGAAACGUGUGCUAAUACCGUAUACGUCCUUCGGGAGAAAGAUUUAUAGGAGAUGGAUGAGCCCGCGUUGGAUUAGCUAGUUGGUGGGGUAAAGGCCUACCAAGGCGACGAUCCAUAGCUGGUCCGAGAGGAUGAUCAGCCACACUGGGACUGAGACACGGCCCAGACUCCUACGGGAGGCAGCAGUGGGGAAUAUUGGACAAUGGGCGCAAGCCUGAUCCAGCCAUGCCGCGUGAGUGAUGAAGGCCCUGGGGUUGUAAAGCUCUUUCACCGGUGAAGAUAAUGACGGUAACCGGAGAAGAAGCCCCGGCUAACUUCGUGCCAGCCGCCGCCGUAAUAC